rnacentral:rRNA from 1 species
AUUGAACGCUGGCGGCAUGCCUUACACAUGCAAGUCGAACGGCAGCACGGGAGCAAUCCUGGUGGCGAGUGGCGAACGGGUGAGUAAAGUAUCGGAACGUGCCCAGUCGUGGGGGAUAACGUAGCGAAAGUUACGCUAAUACCGCAUACGAUCUAUGGAUGAAAGCGGGGGAUCGCAAGACCUCGCGCGAUUGGAGCGGCCGAUAUCAGAUUAGGUAGUUGGUGGGGUAAGGGCUCACCAAGCCGACGAUCUGUAGCUGGUCUGAGAGGACGACCAGCCACACUGGGACUGAGACACGGCCCAGACUCCUACGGGAGGCAGCAGUGGGGAAUUUUGGACAAUGGGCGAAAGCCUGAUCCAGCCAUGCCGCGUGCAGGAUGAAGGCCUUCGGGUUGUAAACUGCUUUUGUACGGAACGAAAAGGUUUGGCCUAAUAAGCUGAGCUCAUGACGGUACCGUAAGAAUAAGCACCGGCUAACUACGUGCCAGCCGCCGCCGUAA